rnacentral:rRNA from 1 species
UUUUUGGAGAGUUUGAUCCUGGCUCAGGACGAACGCUGGCGGCGUGCCUAAUACAUGCAAGUCGAGCGGACUUU